ensembl:lncRNA
AAGCAGCAGGCGCACCACGCAAACGGAGGGCGCCCUUACUCCCAGCAAAUGGGCGAUAGAAAACCGAUCGAUGCCUGUGCCAUUCCCAAUAUGCGCUGGCUGCCGUAGGGGCAGCAUGAGUACGAGCGUUUUUUUUCUUUUUUUGCCGAUGCCCGUGAUGCCGCCCCCCAUCACGAUGCCGCCCCGGGCAACCGCCCGUGUCGCCCGUAUCUAAAACCGCUACUGGUGGCAUCACUGUAGUUGUCAGAAGAAACCAGGUCAUCUGUCCUUCUCCCUGCCUAUCCAGUGAUCUGUCUUCUUUUCUCGUCCUGUUUUUUAUUAUAUUAUCUAUAUAGAAAUAGUCUGAAUCUCAUUUAUUUUCUGAUGACCUUGUUUUUUGUCCACUUUUGAGAUCAACUAUCUUGACGUUCUGUCUUCAUUAUAGUUUUUCUUUUAUUUAUUCAGUACCUUAGUGACAAUUAGAAAAAAAAACAUAGCCGUAUUUCUUGGGAGAAAUCAAUCAACUCCAGAAAGUCAAGACGUAGUUGGAUGCACACCAUUUGGUUUCUUUUCUUCUAUUUUCUAUAGUAUGUUUAAUGUUUUAGUCAUUGUUUCUCUGCCUACUUAAGAUUUGUGCCCUUCUCUGUCUGUCAUGAAAUAAUAUAUUCUCUCAUUUCUCUACCAUGAUACUAAAGAUGUUCUUUUUAUUUGUAGUUAAAGGCUGCCUUCCUAAGUACCUCCAGUGAACUAGUGCAGCCCUACAUGGAAGUACCAGGCAUUAGACACAUGCUUGACGCGUUACAGAAACAUUUCGAAUGCUGUGGAAUAGGGAGUGUUGAGGACUGGGGCAACAAAAUCCCAAAUUCCUGUGAAUGCACAUCAGAUGCAACUAAUUGCAAACACAGACCUCAGGGAAAAGGAGGUCCAGAGAAAAUCUAUGCAAAGGCUUGUGGGGAGCGUGUUUUUGGGUUCUUGGACUACAUCUUCAGGAUGAUUAUAAACUUCUUCUUUGCAUUUGUUGUUACAGCACUGCUGGCCCUGCUCAUGACCAUCUGCAUGAUCCGUCAGGUCAAAUGUAACAAUGCUGAUGAAUCCAUUGCCAUGGAAGACAAAUGAAAGGAACUACCACACAUGCAGGUCCUCUUACCUUUAACCAUUUCACUAGGUUUGAGCAUAAAAAGAGGACUCGGUGGUCGGGAUGUGACCUCUUUUUAUUCACUUGAAAAAAAAAACGUUAUUUGUGCCUUGAGCGAAAGAGAAGCAGGAGACAAAUGUUGAGGUUGAGGUUGUGGUGUGAUGCAGGAUUACAACACGUAGAGUUUUUCUCCCAGCUGUACAAAGCAUAGCUUAAAAAGCAAAAUGUUUUUUUGUGUGUGUUAUUUGAUACUAUGCUGUAUUCUGGUCCUCUUAUAUGGGGCAUAUUGUAGAAAAGAAGCAGCUUUGUUUGUCUUAGGAGUGUGGAGUAGUUGAAAAUAAAUGAAAACUACUAAAGUUCAUUCAAGAACCACUCAGUUGGCUGGUUUUAAGAACUUCAAAUACUGAUCAUAACGUAAUCUGUUUAAUAUAAAAUGCUUAUUGGCCCAAAAUGAUGAAUAAGAAUAAGAGUAACAAAAUAUCAUGGUGAUUCUAAAAAAAAAAGCCUAACUAAGAGACUGGGUAGAGAAUGGAGUAAAUUGUGAUUGGCUGGUUUAAAAGGGAUUAUGCCUAAACCAAUGUUCUUCUUCAGAAGGGGCUAAAGGCAAAUCUAACUGAGGUAAAAUAGCAAAAAAGGAAAAUGUGAAACAAAAUAACCUUAGUAACCUUACUUAAAAGUGAGUGAAAGAUUGAUGAUAGAGAGGAUGAUAGGGAGUGGCUAUAUAUCAGUGGAUUUUAUGCAAACACAGUGAUUGGACAUCUAAGGUUAGGAGAUGGAGACGAGUGGACACAUGACAGAGCAUAAAUCGGAAAACCUGUAGAUGUUCUGGGUUUCUUCCUGGCAGUUCUUCAGGAUGAACAGUCCAGAAGAUCAGAUCUCAGAAGUCCAUCAUUGGAAAUUCCAGCAGAGAGACGUUAAGAGGGAUCAAACCACCACUCAAAUUAACACAAAGCAAUGGGAGAAGAUACAUCUUCAGGCAUGGAUUUGCCCGUUCCUCCUCUAACCUCCCUCCUCCUAAAGAUGAGAACAAAAUCAUUGUUAGCUCAGAGCAGGCUAAUUAGACACACAUGAUUCAGGUGAAAUGACGAUUAUUAUUUUGGUAAUUAUUAAUCAUAAUUUUUCCUUUGCUUUGCUCUUAACCAAAUUGCUUUAAUAAAACUUCCUUCCA